rnacentral:rRNA from 1 species
UACGUAGGGUCCGAGCGUUGUCCGGAAUUACUGGGCGUAAAGAGCUCGUAGGUGGUUUGUCGCGUUGUUCGUGAAAACUCACAGCUUAACUGUGGGCGUGCGGGCGAUACGGGCAGACUGGAGUACUGCAGGGGAGACUGGAAUUCCUGGUGUAGCGGUGGAAUGCGCAGAUAUCAGGAAGAACACCCGUGGCGGAAGGCGGCUCUCUGGGACGGUACUGACGCUGAGACGGCGAAAGCGUGGGGAGCGAACAGG